UAUGUUCCUUUUUUUCCCGCCGCCGCGGUAAUACGGAGGAUUCAAGCGUUAUCCGGAUUUAUUGGGUUUAAAGGGUGCGUAGGCGGUUUGAUAAGUUAGAGGUGAAAUCCCGGGGCUUAACUCCGGAACUGCCUCUAAUACUGUUAGACUAGAGAGUAGUUGCGGUAGGCGGAAUGUAUGGUGUAGCGGUGAAAUGCUUAGAGAUCAUACAGAACACCGAUUGCGAAGGCAGCUUACCAAACUAUAUCUGACGUUGAGGCACGAAAGCGUGGGGAGCAAACAGG
rnacentral:rRNA from 1 species